CUCUGCUGCUCAGUGGAUCUGUAGCCUCAUAGGAUCCUGCCGGAGCCGCUGGGCGGUCCAGACAAGCCCUCGGGGCCUCGAGGUGUCGGCCUUCGCCUCAGCUAAGGGGUGAAGCGCCUUCUCCUGGUCGCUGGGUGGCGCCUAGGCAGGAGCGUAUGGAUCUGAAUGACAAACUGCCCCGUCCUGGGUACACUACUCCUUUCUCUUUCUCUGUGAUGCUGCCAUACAACAUAGGGAAACGCUGGAACUUUUACUGUUUACUAUUGUUUCACCUCUCCUGUAUAUCAUUUGUUUGUUGUUUGAUUUUGAGGCAGGGUCUCAUAAUGCUGUCCCAAUUGUCCUGUGACUCACUGAUAUCCGUUAUCAGAGCUCACUGAUCUGGGAUUAAAGGCGUGUCUCUAUGCCCCGCAUUCCAGUAAACUACCCCACCCCCACCCCCAAUUAAAGAUGGGUUAAUUUAAAAUGCCAACAUGAGCUAUUGUUGAUAACAAGUGGUGUACUACAAGAAAUUCAGCUGUCCAUUAAUUUUGCUAAUCCUUGGUUGUGACAUCAGACCAUGAAGUUCCACUGACCCAAAUAGAUAUUACAUUUAGAAAUGAAGUGCAUUGUGGUACAUACCUUUAAUCCCAGAGUUUCAGAUCUCUGAAUUCAAGUUAGUCCAAGUCAGCUAUGUAGUGAGAUGAUGUCUCAAAAGUAGAAAAAAAGUGUUCAUAAGAAAACCGGGCAGCCAGGAGGCGAUGGCCAAGCCUUUUCCGGGCAUCUCAGGAGGCAGAGGCAGGUGGAUCUCUUGAGUGCAAGGCCAGCCUGGACUGCAGAGUUAGUUCCAGGUCAGCUACACAAAGAAAUCCUGUCUUGAGAAACCCUGUCUCGAAAAACAAAACAAAACAAAAACCAC
rnacentral:lncRNA from 1 species